CGGCGUGGGUAAUGCGUGUGAGUGUGGAUUGUAAUGUCGAGGGUGGUAUUGGAAGCGGCAUGGGUAUUGCGUGUGUAAAUUGUGAUUUUGAAGUUUUGGCGCAGUGUAUGAAAUGUGUGUGUCAGAAUUGUGAAAAUAGAAAAUGUUAAAUGGAAAAAUGGUGCCGAUAUUGUGUAUUUCAUAAGAAUAAGCUACUUCAUCUAUUUCAGCGUAGCUUAGUUUGACAUUACGAACAAUAUUUCGAUAGAACGCAAGACAAUUCGAAGUAGAAAAGUAAUGCGAAAUGAAGCUUAACAGAAUGCUUAGUCAAUUCUUAAAUGUUAAAUCCAGUUCAUUUCUGAAGGCCUUUGUUAAUAAUUAAAACAAAAACAUUUUGAAUUUGAAUUCCACCAAUCCAGCAGUUAUGGAUUUUUUUAUGGGUAUAUGACUGAUUAAUAAUGCCGAGUUCCCACUCUGCCUUGGAAUAUUCUCCCGUCAGAAGAAAGAUUGAACAAUCAAUUAACAGAUAAAUCGAGUGAACUAAUGAAAUUUGCUUCGUGACAUUAUUUCCGAAAAUCUCUCAUAAUGAGAACUCUCAGCUCAAGACAACAAAUGCAAUUCAUAAAGAUUGUAGCCAAUAAAUGUAGUAAAUUUUUAAUGGUUGAGUAGUAUCGACACAUAGCAUUUUAAUGCUUACAUUCUGAGGAGCAGAAAUAAAUUAAAUUCAUAUUUCGUUAAAUUUGAUAGGAGUCCUAAAAAAAUUCGCUCUUUUCCCCAUAAAAUUUCAAAUACUAUUAAAAUAAAAAUAUUUAUUUCAUGGACGUUACAGAUUUUCUAGAAAAUUUCUUCGAAUAAUACUUAUUCUCAUUUGGAAGGGCUUAAGAGGACUUUUAACUGGAAUGAAGCUUAGGUUAAUUUCAAAAUUUCUAUACUUUCAAGUAAGUUUAUUUUAAUUGUAUUUUAAAUUUAAACGCGCAGUUCUUGCAAUAUAGAACAAUAAUUGCUCCUUUUCCAUAAUGUUCAAUUAUGAAACAUUUCGCUCUUUUAACCACCCUUCUUUCUCCGUCUUGGAAUUAAAAUCCCUAUCUAAUAUGAAAAGUAAUCUUGUGGGCCUCGGCUAUUUAAUAUUCUAUAUAUUCAUUAUUCUUCUAAUUGAUAUAACAAUUUCACAUCCCAUGAAAAAAAGUUUUGAUUGAGGCUUGCAUUGUCGAUCAACCGUAAACUGAUAAGCUAUUUCUGAUGUUGAAGGCAUGUCAUUUCUUCUGAAUAGAGUAGCUCGGCUUAUUUGAACUUCUCUCCUCCCAGAAUUUAGAAACAAUUUAGUUCGCUCCAUAUCGCAACAGAAAGGAAGUUUGAAUAACCUCAUAUAUCGAAUGCGGGGAGAAUUUCACUAACUUUCAAUGAAAAUAAGUAAUUGGCUGGAGCAUCGAUAGGAAAACUUGGGUAAUCGAGCUUUAGAGAUAAAAAAUAAACAUUUUUAAAUGUAGCUAUUCUAAUUUUAUUUAUACAAAUUUGGUAUUGAACCUCUUUGAACUUAAACAUGUAAAAAAAAUCAUUUUCAUAAAAUUUUUAAAAAUAUGAAAUGUUUUAAGACAAAGACGUAGUUUGAAAGCAACGUUGCUUGUUGUAAACAAAAAAAGCACAAUUUGAUCACUUUUCUGCAAUUCACCUUCAAAAAUUUAAAAACGGUAAUCUUUACUUUCUGAAUUGAAUUACAGUUAUGUUUUGAACCUUGAGCUUCAGCGCAGAUUAUCCUACAAAAGUAUCUUGUACUAGAAUAAUAUCUAUAUAAAAACGGUAAUCGCUAGCAAUGAGUUGCCGCUGAACUAUUUUUAACUAUUUGAAACUUUCUAAGAUGAAUUAAAAUAUACACGCUUGAUGGACGCUUAGAUAGAAUGAGGAAGAAACAUUAAUAGUCUCUGGAUAUUCCAUGCAUGUGGCUUCUAAACGACGUGAGUGCCAGAAUUAUAUGGGUUUUACAUGGUAAAGGCUAAUGACAGAGACAAGAACCAUGGUGAUUGUUUUCUUGUGCCUUUUUCUACAAAUGUGCCGAUUGAAUGAAUGUUAAGUUGGCAUCUUCAAUGUGUAAAAAUGAUUGGAACAUUAGAUCUUGAAUUUAAACUGUUUCACUAAACCACAUAGUUUCUGUUAGAUUCAUUACAUUUUUUAAUCAUUUGAGUGAAAUGGAAAGUCACAGAAAUCAUUAAAGAAGCAGAUUAGCCGUUUAAUGGGAACAAUUGCACAACGUCAUUCACCAUAAGAAGAGGGAGGGACUGCCUUUACAGCUUUUGGCAAAAAGCACGGAUAGUAGCUGUCCAGAUGGCCAAAAAAAAAUUUUGUUUCACACAAAGUAAUAUCGGCUGGAUAACUUUUGACGCUUAAUAGAUACUAAUUUGCGUGAUAAAGAUAUGAUGCCAAACACCGUAUUUUCUCAGUUCCAUACACAUGUCAUCUAUAUCAAUUUUGCUGGAUGCGAGGAAGUAUUCGCUUAAGAUACGUCUAUGUAUCCAAAGGCACAAUUGACAUGUUUUGACCGAAAUGACCAUGGCUCAACAGGAAAUAUCUGGAACCUACAAGUGGAUUUUGGAAUUUGGACCCUUUUCAAAUUAAAUUAUGGUCAGAGAUCCAACAGAUAUAAUUGAUAGUUUCAAAAGCUAGGAAUAUUAAACCAAGUUCAAAAUGCAUCGCCUUUAAUACUCGCAAAUUAUCAAGACUUAAAUUCAGUCUGCACAGUGGAUUGAAAGUGAAAGGUUUAUGAUCUCUCCAUAUACCAGACAAGUGGUUUCAAAGAAACGAGGGCAAAAUCAUGUGGAUUUAACAUGUGUAAUCCGUGAUAGAAGAAAAUAACCAUGAAGAUUUCUUCUUAUUAAACUAUGGAAUCAAUGUUAAUUUGGAGGAUUUUUUUUUGUGCAAUGACAGCAAGAACUUGUGAGAUAACAUCCGUUUGCUCCAGUUUACUUGUACUUAAAUACUUGGGUGAAAUAGAACGUCAUAUAAAGCAAACAAAGAUCAACUAAUCUGCAUUUGAUUCUACAGCAGCGCACUGUGCAAAGAAUACAUCUGAUGUCAUCUAUUUGAAUAACGAAACUCCAUCUGUGGAAUGAAAGGCCUUUUCAGUUCCAGCUACAAACUCUAUAUACAAAGGAUGUCUGGAUGCACAGGAAAGAACGGUACUGAAGUGAUUUCGAUAUUAACAGGAGUUGGCCGAAAUGAUAGCGGUAAAACGGAUGGCAUUCAGAAUCUUCAUCAAGCGAAUAUUAGAACUCGGUGCCUUUAAAAGGAAAUAUUGGAUGGCGAUCCAACAGAUGCAGCUUGUGUCUUUGGUCUGAUAUUAGAGCAAACCCAAAAUGAGUAUUUUGUGCCAAUAUAUUAUCAAUGAUAUGCAUGGUGGAAAUGUAAAUGUAUAUGUAGUUAACAUUACUUGAGGAUAUCAAUACAUCUCUGAAAUACUUUGUUCUUCUAUUUUAAGGUGUUGAAUAUUUAUAUAUUUUUGGGGAAUUCUUUCAAUCAAUGCGUAAUUGUUCUUGAACUUGGAAUUCUUGGAACUUGGAAAAGGUUGAAGUGCAUGGAAUGUAAAUCGUUCAAAGCCUGUGUUUGGCAUAUGAAUCAAUAUUUCUUAACUGUUCUGGAAAUUGUUAUGCAUAUGUCCAUUUUAAUAGCUUCUGGUACAUUAUAUUUCCUUCAAAGUGGAUAUUUGUAUUCUACUCUUUUAGACACAAGUAUUUUUUUAAAUAUUAUAGACAUAUGAAACAUUUUUAUGGAUAAAUUAAAAUUUGAUAGUGUGUUUGAUUUUUUGCUGAAUAUCUAAAACCAAUUUCCAUCAAUUUUUCUUUCAACGCGUAUAAAAUUGACUUCAAAAUUUCAUUUGUAACCAUACUCUUAUUAGAAGUUAACAAGUCGAACUUUUGUUACUCUCCCAGCAAUAUAGCCAGUGAUCUCAACCACUGUCACAGAAUUGAAAUAAAAAAAUAUAUAACGCCUUAAUUUGCAUUUGACAUUUCUCCAUUGUCAACGGAGAAUACACUUUCAUGAUAUUGGAUGAUUUGUUAACAUUCUUUUUCAUCAUCGAUUGCAUUAUUAAAAUUCUAAAAAUUUAAUUUUUUGUCAACCGAUUAGGUGUUAUUCCUUCUCAUCAACAUAAUUGUUUGUAGACAGUUUUCAAUUUUUUGACAGAUUUUACAAAGUAGUCUUUCUUUAUUUUCAUUUAUUACUGAAUGUCAAAGAUCGCGAAAGCAAUUUCAUUCAUUUUUCCUGAAUAGAAAUUUAAAUAUAGUGUCAAAGAUCAUUAUUUGAAAUUUAAUUUCAACACUUUGAGAAAUUUUAUCACGAUUUUUGUAGCUAUAUUAAUCAAAUAUCUGUACAUUGCAUCCAUUUUCAAUUAUUUUUUUAAAUCAAGAUUCUAUUCUUAUUAAAUUUAUUAAAAAUUGGUGAUAAUAAAUGAUUAAUAGAACUUCACUUUGUGACUAUGAAAUAAGUUACCACAAACUCAGUAUAUUUAGUGUAAUGGCUAUGUGCGUAUAAUUCUGAUUUAGGAAAUAUUUUUUUUUUCUAUAAGGGUCUUAACAUUAGCCUUUGAAAUAUUGUUUUAUAAUUUUUUUAUUAAAAUUUUGAUCUGAAAGCAAAAUUUGUGAAAAUGAAAUUUGCUUUAAUAUGUAUCUGCAUGUUUAUCUAGUUUAAAAUAUAUCAAAAAUCACUGCUGUCAAUGGCGGGAGAAACGCGUCUGUAUCCUGUAUGAAAGAAAUGGCAAAAAAAAAUGCGUUGUCCACAUGUCUACUUUGUUUUCUUAAAGAUUAUUUGAAAUUUAAAUAUUUUCCCAUAAAUAUGGCUGAAAUUUAUGUUUGCCUACGUGAAACAGUAUUGUGCAUUGCAAAGAUAUUUUAUGUUUAUAUAUUGAAUUUGGUAAUAUUAAUUAUUGGAACUGUAAUUAUUCUUAAAUAAUGCGAUAUGAUAGUGCUUUCUUCUCUUUUCAUUAACUUUCACAUUUGAAUAAUCGUAAAAUGCACAGCAUUCAUUUUUCCUGAACAGAAAUUUAAAAACAUAUCAAUGAUCGUUAAUUUGUAACCUAAUUUCAAUACUUUCAGAAAAAUUUUAACAUAGUAUUUGUAAUUAUAUUAAAUAAGCAUCUGUUCAUUGCAUCCAUUUGCAGUUAGGCUUUUAAAAAAUAUUUUAUUCUUGUUAAAUUUAUUUUAAGUAAAUUAAUGAUAAAUUUAUUUAAAAAAAAAGUUAGCAUUUCAAGUUCACCAUUAAUCUUAUAAUAAGUAAUGAUUUCUAAAUCUCGCCAUUUUGGCCUUCAAUUUUACUUCCAUCCGCGGAUAGAGGAUACUUUGAUUGACUCGGCCGGCCAGCCAAUCAAAAUGUCCUUCGAUUCUUCGAAGGCAUUUGAUCAUUGUGCCUGAUCAUCACAAUGAUCUAUGUACCUUAGAAGAAAAUGAUUCUCGCGCUUGAUUAGCAAGAAUCAAAAUUUCUAAAAAUCUACUCGAGUAUAAUAAAAUAUUAGUUGAGGGGAAAAAAGUGAAUGGAUGCGAUGAAUGUUGAAUAAUGUAGGUAAGAUUGCUUUCUUUUAUUAAUAAUACGAGUAAAUUAAGUUUUAUGAGCUUUUCAGAAGAUUUUAAUUUCAAUUUUUAUUCCAAGUUAUUUAAUAAAAUAUUAAAUUAUCACUUAUUCUAAAUUGAAUUAUGCAUUGGAAAAAUCUUAGAAUGAAUGUUCAAUUUAUAUACUAUCCUUAAAUAAUAAUUUAUAUAAAUGUGUUUCUUUAAUUACAUUUUAAUAAUCAAUGCUUGUAUUAAAUUUUCCAUUUCAAGUAUGUCAAUUUUAUGUUAACUGAGUACUUUUAUUUUCAAAAUUGUUUGAAUUCCUUUUAAGCUUUUUGUAUAAGACAGCAGUUUGAUACCUGUUUAAUUUGAUAUCUGUACUGAAUUCUUAAUUCAAUGCGU